GCCAGCAGCCAUAUUACCUUGCAACACGCAGCUGGCAGCCCACUGGAGCUCAGCAGGCGUGAGUCUGGCCAGUACCUGGAUAGGAGACUCCUGGGGAAAAACUGAGGCUGCUGCUG
rnacentral:rRNA from 1 species